rnacentral:lncRNA from 1 species
UAGUCCACAGACCAAGAAAUCACCAAAAAUUUGAGCAAAUUGUCUUUUGACGAAUUUCCUUAUUUCAGACUCUGAGAGAAUGGGUUAUGUAGAUUUCAGGACCGAAUUUGGGUCCAUGUCACUGUCAGGAUGGAUAUUCUUAAGGUUGCCCACGCCUUCAAACUGUUUAUCCACCCUGAGAGUACAAAAAUGUAUCGAAACCUGAAGUGUCAAUACUGGUGGCCAGGAAUGAAGAAAUA